UACAGAGGGUGCGAGCGUUGUCCGGAAUCACUGGGCGUAAAGGGCGCGUAGGUGGCGGGCCAAGUCAGUGGUGAAAGCUCGAUGCUCAACAUCGAGUCGGCCACUGAUACUGGUUUGCUUGAGCACUGUAGAGGCAGAUGGAAUUCCGGGUGUAGCGGUGGAAUGCGUAGAGAUCCGGAAGAACACCGGUGGCGAAGGCGGUCUGCUGGGCAGUUGCUGACACUGAGGCGCGAAAGCGUGGGGAGCAAACAGG
rnacentral:rRNA from 1 species